rnacentral:rRNA from 1 species
AACGAACGCUGGCGGCGUGCCUAACACAUGCAAGUCGCGCGAGAAAAGGGGGGCAACCCCCUGAGUAAAGCGGCGCACGGGUGAGUAACACGUAGGUGACCUACCUCCGAGCCUGGGAUAACCUACCGAAAGGUGGGCUAAUACCGGAUAUGACCACGGGCAUCUCGGUGCCUGUGGUGAAAGGUGGCCUCUGCUUGCACGCUACUACUCAGAGAUGGGGCCCUGCGCGCCAUAGCUUGUUGGCGGGGUAACGGCCCACCAAGGCGAUGAUGGCUAGCUGGUCUGAGAGGAUGACCAGCCACACUGGGACUGGAACACGGCCCAGACUCCUACGGAGGCAGCAGUGGGGAAUAUUGGACAAUGGGCGCAAGCCUG